rnacentral:rRNA from 1 species
CCAGACCGCCAGCUAAGGUCCCAAAGUCAUGGUUAAGUGGGAAACGAUGUGGGAAGGCCCAGACAGCCAGGAUGUUGGCUUAGAAGCAGCCAUCAUUUAAAGAAAGCGUAAUAGCUCACUGGUCGAGUCGGCCUGCGCGGAAGAUGUAACGGGGCUAAACCAUGCACCGAAGCUGCGGCAGCGACACUAUGUGUUGUUGGGUAGGGGAGCGUUCUGUAAGCCUGUGAAGGUGGCCUGUGAGGGUUGCUGGAGGUAUCAGAAGUGCGAAUGCUGACAUAAGUAACGAUAAAGCGGGUGAAAAGCCCGCUCGCCGGAAGACCAAGGGUUCCUGUCCAACGUUAAUCGGGGCAGGGUGAGUCGACCCCUAAGGCGAGGCCGAAAGGCGUAGUCGAUGGGAAACAGGUUAAUAUUCCUGUACUUGGUGUUACUGCGAAGGGGGGACGGAGAAGGCUAUGUUGGCCGGGCGACGGUUGUCCCGGUUUAAGCGUGUAGGCUGGUUUUCCAGGCAAAUCCGGAAAACC